UACGAAGGGGGCUAGCGUUGCUCGGAAUUACUGGGCGUAAAGGGCGCGUAGGCGGAUACUUAAGUUGGGGGUGAAAGCCCGGGGCUCAACCUCGGAAUUGCCUUCAAUACUGGGUAUCUUGAGUUCGGGAGAGGUGAGUGGAACUCCGAGUGUAGAGGUGAAAUUCGUAGAUAUUCGGAAGAACACCAGUGGCGAAGGCGACUCACUGGCCCGAUACUGACGCUGAGGCGCGAAAGCGUGGGGAG
rnacentral:rRNA from 1 species